rnacentral:misc_RNA from 1 species
CAGAGAACAUCGCCCUCACGGGUGACUCUCCAACCCUAUGUUAAUACACUUUUGUUGCUUUGGCGAGCCGCCUCGGCCACCGGCUUUGCGCUGGUGAGUGCUCGCCAGAGGACCUAAACUCUUAGAUAUAAUUGUCGUCUGAGUACUAUAUAAUAGUUA